GAAGUGAUCGGAGGAGAGAAUCUUUGCAUGAAAAGGUGAAAUCCAAGAAAGACCGGUAUAGUGGGAAGAUUUCAGGGGGCCUUUUGAUGAGCUUUCAAAUAUUGAUCUUCCAACGAAACAAGAUCUACCGUGCCAUUUGCUCAUGGUUGGCUUAUACUUCGUGCAGUCCUCUUCCUUUUCAAGUUUUCAUCAUCCAUCACCA